rnacentral:rRNA from 1 species
UACGUAAGUCCCGAGCGUUACCCGGAAUUACUGGGUGUAAAGGGUUUGUAGGUGGUUUAAUAAGUUGGAUAUGAAAGACCGAAGCUCAACUUCGUGUUUGUGUUCAAAACUGUUAGACUAGAAUCAGGGAGAGGUAAGCGGAAUUCUGAGUGUAGGGGUGCAAUCCGUAGAUACUCAGAAGAACACCAAAAGCGAAGGCAGCUUACUGGAACUGUAUUGACACUCAUGAACGAAAGCGUGGGGAGCGAAAAGG